UUUUGAUCAAGAUUGAAAGGCUUCUGAGUAAUUUUAGUGCUGUUUCAAUCACGGACCAUAACCCUGGGGUGUGUCCUGUUCCCAUGGGACCUCUGUCCCCCACUGCUGCCGACGCCUAUCCUCUCCCAGGAAGUGUAGCCCCCUUCUGCUCCCCACCACCCACUGCUGUUUAGGAAAAUUAAGGUGAGGGAACUGAGACAUAGUUAAGGUGAAAGAAAACCUACAAAGGACACUACUGACCACAGGCGAACCGAGGUUGUGACCCACCAUCGGCCACAUCCAUGGUGUAGCCGGCACUCUGGGUUGCUCCUUGUUGCAUCCGAGAAAACAUGUUAAUUUUUCAUACUUGCAACUUAUUUUUUCUAACUCAUCUGCCAUCUCACAAGGAAGCGGAAGGGAACUGAGACCGUAAGCAGACGUCCAGAGACGGAAGUGCGCUGAAAUUUGUUCUUAAUGCUGUGGGAUUGCUGAAUGGACCAUCUGGCUAAGAAUACAAAAGUGAAAGCUCAGUUAUCGGCAUUCUAAAUUUACCAGAUGAAGUUUUCGUGAAAGUUGUUUAUCAGAUAUUUUAAGAAUUUGAUGCUAAUCGUGUUUUGCUUAUUUCUUUGUUGUUCUUCACAAAACACUUCCUCAAAAUCCUUCUCUAUCAAUAAUUAUGUUUAUAUAUGUGUAUAUCUUUUAAACAUAAUAAAUAUUUUAAAAUUU